UGCCCUACGGGGGGCAGCAGUGGGGAAUAUUGCACAAUGGGGGAAACCCUGAUGCAGCGACGCCGCGUGAGUGAAGAAGUAAUUCGUUGCGUAAAGCUCUAUCAGCAGGGAAGAAAUACUGACCUUACGGUCAGCAGACGGUACCUGAGUAAGAAGCCCCGGCUAACUACGUGCCAGCAGCCGCGGUAAUACGUAGGGGGCAAGCGUUAUCCGGAUUUACUGGGUGUAAAGGGAGCGUAGACGGCGCGGCAAGUCUGAAGUGAAAGGCAGGGGCUUAACCCCUGAACUGCUUUGGAAACUGCCAU
rnacentral:rRNA from 1 species